rnacentral:rRNA from 1 species
CGUAGGGUGCGAACGUUAAUCGGAAUUACUGGGCGUAAAGUGUGCGCAGGCGGCAGAGCAAGUCGAGUGUGAAAGCCCCGGGCUUAACUUGGGAAUUGCGCUCGAAACUACUUUGCUGGAGUGUGGCAGAGGAAGGUGGAAUUCCACGUGUAGCGGUGAAAUGCGUAGAGAUGUGGAGGAACACCAAUGGCGAAGGCAGCCUUCUGGGCCAACACUGACGCUCAUGCACGAAAGCGUGGGGAGCAAACAGGAUUAGAUACCCUGGUAGUCCACGCCCUAAACGAUGACGACUAGUUGUUGGAGGAGUUAAAUCCUUUAGUAACGCAGCUAACGCGCGAAGUCGUCCGCCUGGGGAGUACGGUCGCAAGAUUA